AUGUUAUUCUCCAAGUCCAAGGAGAAGGAGAAUCCUUGGGCUGAAAGAGACAUGCCCGAUUUCCUUUGCUUGCGUAUCGAUCACCUGGACCUUUCAAAGGCAACUUCUGGACGUUUCUGCAGAGAACAGAUGGCUAGGUCUAAAUGCGAAGUUGCAGACAACCAGACGCUGCAUGCCAAAACGAGGGAGAAAAGUAGUAGAGUAUUUGCCGGAGAGGAGUAUAAAGAUACUCGAGAGCAAUCCAAAGGAUGCGGCCGGUCAACAGAACGGAACUGGCUCCCCAGCUGGCCCACCCUGUUUGAAUCUCAUGACAAAGCAAAAGUGUCGGCCUCAUGCCCUCAUGGCUAA
rnacentral:rRNA from 1 species